GCAAACAAAACACACGUUUUCGACGCCGGUCGGAUAAAACUCUCACCCGGUAAAGUUGACUAAGUGGAUUGCGCUAAAUGGGCAGUUAUUUAGGAACAACACUAAACUAAAAUAAGCUUCCAAAUCCCAAUGUUCGCAAAAUCGACCCCGAAAACCGAUCAAUUUAAAUCGAAACGUUGCGCGUUUCUACUUUUCGCCAGAACGGGCGAAAAAGAAUCCGACCAGUGUGCAAGGGCCUUAAGCAAUUGGCAGAAUCUGUCAUCCUGGCAUCUUGGCCUUCAGUCCAGCUUCCGCAGCGGUGAGUCCAGCAUCAUCCAGCCCAGCCGCCACCAGCAUGAAAAUCCGUCUGCAUGUUUUUCGUUUUCGAUUGCAAGCUGUGCUGCUGCUGCUAGUGUUGCCGCUACAAUGACGUUUUUCGUUUUCGAUUGCAAGCUGUGCUGCGGCUGCUAGUGUUGCCGCUACAAUGACGUUUUUCGUUUUCGAUUGCAAGCUGUGCUGCUGCUGCUAGUGUUGCCGCUACAAUGACGUUUUUCGUUUUCGAUUGCAAGCUGUGCUGCUGCUGCUAGUGUUGCCGCUACAAUGACGUUUUUCGUUUUCGAUUGCAAGCUGUGCUGCUGCUGCUAGUGUUGCCGCUACAAUGACGGUAAGUGUUCUUCUUUUACAAUAAAUGUAGUGUGUAAUGCG